UAAAAUUUACCAUCUGAAUCCUUUUGAAGGGACAGUUCAGCAGUGUUCAUUCACACUGGUGUGCAGCCGAUCUCCAGAACUGUUUUCAUCUUGCAGAGACUUUAUAUUCAUUAAACAACAACUCCUCAUUCCCCGAUCCGCCCCCCAGCCCCUGGCAACCACUAUUCUACUGUCUCUAUGAAUUUAACUACUCUACUCUGGAUACCGCAUAUAAGUGGAAUCAUACAGUACUUUCCUUCAGUUGUAACACAUGUAUCACACUAGUGCAGGAUGUGAAUGAUUAAGGAGGGCGUGUUAGGGUGUAGGGAAUUAGUGUACAGAGUCCCCAUUAGAGUAGACCGGCACUUUCUGUACUUUCCGCGACAUAUUUUUUUUCUGUAAAUCUAAAGCUGUUUUUUUUAAAAGGCUGUUAAUUUCUUUUUAAAGGAUAACAGAUGCCAAUCAGGCAAAAACCACAGGUGUCCAUUAUAUGAGUCCUUUGCGGCAGCAGGUGUCCAUUCUAAAAAUAGUUUGCACGUCUGGGGGUGAUUACGGAGACUGGAAGGGAUAAUGAAGGUGUGUGCCCUUUGCAGCCUCAAGUAUCUGAGACCAAGGUCAUUCACGAUGCCUGGGCACACGGUUUCUCUCUCCCUGUGAUGUCGUUCUCGAGACCGCUCCUAUGACUGCUGCUGCGGAGACACGGAGCCAAUCCAGAGCGGACUGCCAGUGACGACACCAGUCGCCAAGGCCUCCAAGGGCCCAGAACAUAGUGGCGCCCUCUGGCGGGGAAAGGGAGGCAGUAUGUGAGAGACAGCCAAUCUGGUCAGCUGACUUCGGCCAAGUUCCAGUGCCUGGUGCAACACCCCCUGGCAACUCAAGUCACUUUCCAUCUCCAGAAACCCGACCAGAAGAGAGACAUGCUGAGAGGAAGCAAAGAUCAAGAAUCCUGGCAUCCAAUCAGAUACAGGAAUUAACGCAACAGCCGUCCAAUCAGAUGAGCGGAUCCAACCAAAUAGAGCAGCGUGAGGCGCGAUAAAAGGCGGGAAAGAGCCUGAGGCGAAGCGUGAGGUGAGACGACCAGGUGGACCAGGGGGACGACCGGGUUGACUGACGGACCCAUGGACGGAGGGGGACCCCCUCUGAGCCGGAAACGCUCUGGCAGAGGAUGUGGCCUCUUAAAAAAUCUUCCUGAGGGACAGAGCCCCAGAGAUGGCCCGACAGAGAAAGGCUAGAGGAAAGUGACGCCCCCUACACACACACACACACACACACACACACACACACACACACACGCGACGGUGCAGCCAGUUAGAAAGUCGCAGGGGUGGAGACGCUGGAAGCGACGAAGGAAGACAUUGAGGUGCCCCGGGGAAGGACCCCGAGGCGAGAGAGACAGUGACCGUGAUGCGGAACGAUGGGGA
rnacentral:lncRNA from 1 species